CACCCAAAGAAGCCGUAAAAUACACAAAGAAGAAUGUUUUAACUUGUCUCAAUUGUCACGUUUCCAAAUUGAUCAAAAGCUGGGCAUUUGCGUUCGUCCAUUUCCAAAUUAGGAAAGACAGAAUGGGAAAGAGGGUAGGGAGAGGUGGAAGAAGGGACGAUUUACCGUCGCCGUCGAUCUUGACUCGAGCUGUAGACUCCGUAUUCGAUUUCGUCCGUUUUGCUGAGUUCGAGAUUCUCUUCGUCCUCUUCUUCGUUGUAGCUUUUGUCAUUUUCAAGGAUCUGACUGCAAGGCCGGAGUAUAAUCAGAUCAUGGUGACGAAGCCAGAUUGGUGGCCUUACUAGAUAGACUGCACCUGCAGGGUGUUUUCCGUGUCUACUUGAAGUGUAUGGGUUGCUCUGUUCAUUCUUUUCUAAAGUGCAGUCAGAUGUCUGGAUCCGAUAUUGAGAUUUAUUCCUCCUUUUCUUUUCCUUUGUCAUAUGUUGUCUGAACUAGUUAGUUAUAUGGGAGAAGAAGAUUUCUUUUACUAGGGAGCUUUUUGUUCUUUGAAAUAUGAAGAAUUAAUGGAAUGUAAAUUGGUUUUCUUGUUUUGUCCCUUCAUUUUCCAUUGGGGGUAGAAUGGGUAGUUGAUUUGAUAUUGUUAACAGAGAGUCGAAGUUUGAAAUCAGGAUUUUAUGGGAAAGAAUUCCCACUAAUUUAAGUUGUCUGGUCAUACUGAAAUUCAGCAAAUGCAUAUUGGGUCUGAUCAUAUAUGUAUUACCUUAUUCAACAUGUAAUACCAUCUUAUAUC